UCACCGAAGACAGAUGUUGCUGGAGGAAAUGCUGAAGCAACAUUGAUCCGAAGAAGAUUUAGGAGAUCAGGUGCAGGUGUGUAAGCACCAUUUGGAUACAGUGCAGCAUCAUACUGUUGGAUCUCUGGUUCAACCAACAAGUUUUCUGGAUAUUCUCCAAACUGAUGGUUAAUGAUUUGAUCUUGGAUAGUGCAGCCAGAAGGAUCCCAGCUUGUAGUUUCUCCUGGGGGAGCUUCUUGUUCCAAGUCAAUUCCCAGUUGGUGCUGAAGGAGAUUGGUUCCUCCUACAUCUUCAGAGGAAAAAUUGGUUGGCCUUGAGAGUGCUUCUGUGGAAAAGGAGGGAACUUUGAACUUCUGUAGCUCAAUGCUUGUGUCAUCGUUGCCUUUAGGAAUUUGAGAAGAGUCAUGGAUCAAAGAUCCUGCCAUGAGGCACUGAUCAUGGGAGCUUUCAAAAUAUCCACCCCCGGCAAUCAUUUUGGUAAAACAGUACCUGCUACCUUCUCUCCAAAUCUAAAUCAACAUAGUUUGGAAAGUGGUGAGCACAAGUAUCCUUUGAACUCAAUUUUGAGACAAACGAAAUGCAAAAUGAUGCCGAAGAACCAACACCAUCAUAAAUGAGAACCGAAUAUAGCUACAAUAGAAAUGGUAUUGCUUGUACUUCGCAUAGCAAGGGGAAAGUAUGACUCUGAUGCAUGUCACAGUAGAUAUAGUUCAAUCAGGCAUGGAACAGUUCAGUUGGACUGGCUGUUUUGGUUGUUUCAAGGGAAGGUAGAGCCGUGGAGUCGAAGCUUGGCAGUCUGGCUGUCUGUUAUUUCCGUGUAGAGAAGUUUCUUAUAGCUUGAUAUUUGAGACAUGAAGCAACUUUGCUUGUUGCAGACCUAACAAACUCCUUACCAUCUUUUUGCACCCCACUAAUCAUAUUCAUAUUGAUGUGCUUGAAAAAAAACAUAUUCUUAUUGAUGUUUCAUAUCAUGUGCUUCAACCACCCAAUCUCAUAAAUACUGCAAAAUCUGAAUAGCAUGAUAUCCCUGGUUAAUCAUUAAAUGAAAGACUGAUCAGCUGAAAGACGCACUAAAAUCUAUGAUGUUUUUUUUGAAUUUUGAUAUUGUCAAUUAAAUUUUAUAGGAGCAUAACUAAUUAUGAUUUGCAUCUGCAAACAGCAGUAGUAAGUUCAAGAUGAGCACAUACCUUUCUUUCUUUUGCCUUAGCUGUUUUCAGUGAAGGGGGGUUUGUUUACGAAGUAGCAACUCAAAGACUCACAAUGCAAAGUUUCUGUGCUAUGGCAAGGGUAUUAUAGUGGAAGGUCAUGAGCAAUAAUUUGGUCACCACACAAAAGUGGUGGGAUAGUAAAAUAGAAGUAUGUGUCUGUAGCAAAGACAAUCAAUUUGCAGAGGUGUCCUGUGAACCAUAUAAGAAUGGUCAAAGUAAAGGGCUAUCAUAUGAUUAUUAUUAUAGCCAUUCUUGUUAUGAAGAGGCACGAAACGAGAAAGACGGAAACCUCACACCCUUUGGAUUGGCAUCUUUGAUGUUAUUCGGCUGUAGGAAGUUGAAAAGUGUAAGUCAUGCCUUCUGCCUCCUCAACAUUUUUUAUGAAUGUACUGGUGCAGCUAUGCUUUGAGAAACUAAAUCUUGAACUAUGGAACUACCUACAAGAUAUUCAAAUUCGAAGAUCAAAUCUUUCAUUAUGGAAUUGUGAUGUCAGCAUUAGUUAUCUAAGCUCAUUUGUGUUGACGCAUAUCAGUGUGGUGUUCUUGAUCUUGUGAUUUCUAAAAGUUCUGGAUUUUUCUCCCAUCAUGUUACCAAAUGUCAACAAAUCUAGAACCAAAACAGAAUUUCUAAGGAUCAAGUGCUAGCCUGAUAUGUAGUUGAUUACAUCACAAAACUGAGUUCCUCUCAAUCUGACAAUAGGAAACACCAUGUAUAACCGAGGGCGAGGGGUGAGGGAUGGUGAUGAUAUGUAUGCUCCACUGCAUGUCAUUAGUAGCUCAUACCUUAAGAUUCUGCUGUGGUCCUGUAUGAUAAACUGGAUCAGCUGCAUUCAAGUACUGUACCUUUUCGUUUUGCAUAUCCAAAUCUCAGAAAAGAGUUCCCAAUCAUAAGAACUGAAUACCUAAAUAUUUAUCAUUAUUUCUCUUUGAGUCAAAUUCUUUUGCUCCUCAUAUGAUUGUAAUUGUGCUUACUCAUGAAUACCGUCUUCGGUGUUUGAUAUUUUCUUAUAUUUUGUUGGCUUGUUGUGGUAUAUAGUACUCGUGUUGCCCCUUCAGAACAUUUCACUCUGAAUGCCCAAUUUCUGUUAAAGAAGGUGAUCAAAUUGACGUUUAUUGCAGUCUGCAGUUCUUGCAGCUGUCCAUGUGGGAUCUGGUGCUCAUCAGUUCACUUUACACAACUCCUUGCAUCUAGGAUGCACAAUGGUAUCAGGAGAAGUUUCAAUCCUGAUGUAAGCUUAGUUAUUACAACCACUUCAUGUGUGUCAAGAAACUAGCAUUGUUAAUUGGCGCCAACAGAACAAGUUUCAUUACUUCAAAGUUGUUCAGUUUUACAUAGCCAGAUUAUUAGAAAAGAUUUGGAGUUCCUUCUUUUUUAACAAAAUAGCAUGGAGUUCAUUUAUCCUGCAAUUGAGGCUCGACCAGACUGAAGAAAGCAAGUAACCGUUUAUGAUCACUUAUGAUUAUUUAAUUACAUAUUUACAUGCCUAAGUAAGAACACAAAUACACUAUUGGAGGAUAGUGACCGAGAUUGUUCACUGUAUGCAAUUUAAACUCAGUUGAUGGGGAAUGAAGUGAUUUAUAGCUCUGUUAUACGCAA